rnacentral:rRNA from 1 species
CCUACGAGCGGCAGCAGUGAGGACUCUUGGUCAAUGGACGAGAGUCUGAACCAGCCAAGUAGCGUGAAGGAUGACUGCCCUAUGGGUUGUACACUUCUUUUAUAUGGGAAUAAACUGUUCCACGUGUGGGAUUUUGUAUGUACCAUAUUAAUAAGGAUCGGCUAACUCCGUGCCAUCAGCCGCGGUAAUACGGAGGAUCCGAGCGUUAUCCGGAUUUAUUGGGGUUAAAGGGAGCGUAGGUGGAUUGUUAAGUCAGUUGUGAAAGUUUGCGGCUCAACCUUAAAAUUGCAGUUGAAACUGGCCGUCUUGAGUACAGUAGAGGUGGGCGGAAUUCGUGGUGUAGCGGUGAAAUGCUUAGAUAUCACGAAGAACUCCGAUUGCGAAGGCAGUUCACUGGACUGCAACUGACACUGAGGCUCGAAAGUGUGGGUAUCAAACAGGAUUAGAUACCCGUGUAGUC